rnacentral:lncRNA from 1 species
GAACCAGAGAGUUUGUUAUCCCAAAUAUAAAGCUCAGAUAGGCUUGUCAAGUUUUCAAUAGAAGAAGGGAUGGGACUAGAGAGUUGGUUCCUAGAAAGACCAAGGUGAGACAAAUUUCUUAAUUUUCCAAUGGAAUAAGGGAUUCUACCGGUUAAAACAUUAAUUGACAAGUCAAGUUCAUUGAGAGACUCUAGCAAUCCAAUUUCUUGAGGAAUGGAACCAGAGAGUUUGUUACCCCAAAGAUAGAGUAUGGAUAGGCUUGUCAAGUUUCCAAUAGAAGAAGGGAUUGGACCAUAGAGUUGGUUCAUAAAAAGAUCAAGGAUAGAUAAUUUUCUUAAUUUUCCAAUUUCAUGUGGGAUGGUUCCAGAAAGAGAAUUGUUGUGAAGGUCAAGACAAAAAAGAUUACGGAAGGCCGAGAAGUUGAAAUCAUGAAGCGUACCUCUCAAGCCAAAACUUUCAAGUGUCAAAUUGGUGAUGCUUCCAGAAUUGUCACAGGUGAUUCCAAUCCAGUUAAUGCAAGGGCUGAUGCCGACCCAAGAAGAAAGAAGAGAUUGGCUUUGGUUGUCAAGACAGGCUUUCCAUUGGAGAAGAGCCUCAGCUUCUGUAUUAUUAUUACCAAAUGGUGAAGUUGUGGAGGAAGUGUGUUCAGCUAAAGCAAAGAAGGAAGAAGAGCUGAAUAUCUGAAGGAGCAAAAACAGGAUGUGGAGAAAGAAGGAGAAGAAUGGUUUGUUUAGUAAGGACGUCGUCAUGGUGUGUUUUUCAAGAGACGUAGGAUAUGG